rnacentral:rRNA from 1 species
GACAGAGGGUGCAAACGUUGUUCGGAAUUACUGGGCGUAAAGCGCGUGUAGGCGCCAAGCAAGUCGGAUGUGAAAGCCCUCGGCUCAACCGGGGAAGUGCACUCGAAACUGCAUGGCUAGAGUCUCGGAGAGGAUCGUGGAAUUCUCGGUGUAGAGGUGAAAUUCGUAGAUAUCGAGAGGAACACCGGUGGCGAAGGCGGCGCUCUGGACGAGACUGGACGCUAGGAGCGAAGCGUGGGGAGAA